rnacentral:lncRNA from 1 species
CUAAAAGAAUCAAGAAGGAUAUACAUGUGGUGCUUUAGUUAUCACAUUGAAUUAAAUAACAGAAAGUGAAGGGGAUAUUCGUUACGGGGGAAACUGCUUUUCUUUCCUCCUUUGACACACAAAUUGAAAUUAAAGAUUACAUCAUUUGCCAAGUUAGAGGUGAGAUAGGCAGUCUUUUCUUUCAUUCUUUGACACACAAAUUGAAAUUAAAGAUUACAUCAAUUGCCAAGUUAGAGGUGAGAUACAGGAUAAGAAUGCUAGAGAAACUGGAGCUGUGGAAAAAAGAUCCAUUAGUCCAACCACAGUGGUUUCGAAGGGAACUGAAAUCUGAACUAAUUCCAUGACAUUUCUUUCCAUGGUUUCAUUUAGUGAAUUUACACCAAUUCAAAUGCCUCACCUCAAAAUUUCAAAAAAAAAACUUCCAUGGUAUUGGGUUCUUAAGCUUGAAACAAUAUUUUGAAACGUCUUUUCGAGUUAAGACCGCAGAGAACUACGGUAUUUAGCCAUAGGCAAAAGACUUGCAAGGCAUACAUCUUCUGCGCCAGGUACUUGCGCAGCAAGUUCUACAUUUUUCAUUCAACUCAAUAUCCCAUGCUAUGCUUCAUUGUUCAGAACAGAUACAGGGAUAACUUACUAGGGCAAGAUAGCUGCUCCAAAAACUCCGUCCACUUCUAAUUGUGCACUGCGACUCUGUAUUGCAACUAGAAGUAAGACAUGGCUUCGUUUCUCGAUCUUCUACGUUGGUUUUCUAGCAAACCCUAAUGUUAUCAACACACACAGACACAGUAUACAUUGUUACUGUAUCACCCAUGCCGUGCUUAUCAUCACAUGUUAGUAUGUGCCCCUCAUCAGAUUAUGACACGUGCCAAUCUAGCAGUAAAGGUAUGACCUCAAUUAAGAUAUCCAAGAAUGCUAGACACCAACUACUAGCUCACACAUUCUUCCAUCGUUAUUGAACAUGUAUCCACGUACA